ensembl:lncRNA
GAUACAGUGUGAUAGAUAGGUUCGAUACAGUGUGAUAGAUAGGAUAGAUACAGUGUGAUAGAUACAGUAUGAUAGAUACAGUAUGAUAGAUACAGUGUGAUAGAUAGGAUAGAUACAGUAUGAUAGAUGUGAUAGAUAGGAUAGAUACAGUAUGAUAGAUACAGUAUGAUAGAUAGGAUAGAUACAGUAUGAUAGAUAGAUACAGUAUGAUAGAUUGGUUCGAUACAGUGUGAUAGAUGUGAUAGAUACAGUAUGAUAGAUAGGAUAGAUACAGUAUGAUAGAUAGGAUAGAUACAGUAUGAUAGAUGUGAUAGAUAGGAUAGAUACAGUAUGAUACAUACAGUAUGAUAGAUAGGAUAGAUACAGUAUGAUAGAUACAGUAUGAUAGAUAGGUUCGAUACAGUGUGAUAGAUAGGUUCGAUACAGUCUGAUAGAUAGGUUAGAUACAGUGUGAUAGAUAGGUUCGAUACAGUGUGAUAGAUAGGUUCGAUACAGUGUGAUAGAUAGGAUAGAUACAGUAUGAUAGAUACAGUAUGAU